AUCAGAGCAGAUGUGGCUCAAUGAAGCCACCCCACAGCUCAGGAUGAGUGAGGUGGUUACAGACAGCUUUGAAUAUGUGUAUGCUUGUGUGUCUGUUUGCAAUAUAGCCGAACAAACCUCCACUGCUGUUUGUGCUGCAGAACAGAUGACUUGGAAAAGGCUCUUGAAGUUCUGGGACUUCACCCUGACAUGUUCUGGAUUUGAACGUCCCCAAGUCUGGAGGCCGCCUGCUGCCUGGUGUGGGCUUAUCUCUGCAGGAGGCGAGCUGAAGUGCUCCGUACCAUUGCCAUGCCUUUUAAAUCGCCCCUUGUCACAAAAAGAAUUUAACCAUUUACAGAGCAGUGCCAGGAACAUCCAUCCGGGUGACUCUUCCACCUUGAAUUCAAGGAGGAGGUGAAGAGGAAAGCUGAAGUCUUUAAUCUGCCUGUGAACAAAAACAGCUUGUGGCGGAUGUGAAUGGCUGAGUAGCGAUAUGCAAGCUACCCUGAAAGUACACAGAAUGGUCAGCUUUGGCACAGCAGCGCCGUACUGGCUGAAGGAUGAUUCACAUAUCUGAAAAAUAAAAGGAGCUUCACCUCAAAUAGAACCAUUUUUUGUGCUUAUUGUUAUCAGUGUGAUUAAACCUCCCGCCCCUGUCUGAGGCUGCAGACUGGUGAACAUCAGCCAUUCUCAGAGACAGCAGAGCCAGAAUUACCUGUGGCUGCUGAGGGGAUCUGGGACAGUCUGGCUAAGGAGAGUGCAGUAUGCUUAACCUGCUGGCUGGGCUGAAACACAGAAUGGCUUCCACUGAAGAUGUAUAUGGAAUCAGAGAGCUAUUCCACACCUGUAAACUGGACAACCAUCGUGCAUUCAUCUCUCGAGCUGAUUUUCACGGCCUUUGGUACGUUCACAUCUACAAAUCUGGCCCUGGAUAUCUCAAAUUGUGAAACAAUUUACCAUGGAAAAGGCAGAAAGUCCUGACUCGUGGCAAUCCGAGCUUCAGACAAAGGUGGUUGGAGCACUGUGGUCAUAAACUCCAUCACAGAUUGGCUAUCAGCAGGAUGGAGGUAGGCAGAAUGGAUGGGAAGUUCCAGCUGCCAUACAGUGCAUGACCUGCUGCAGACCCAGCAGCUUGAUGAGUCCAAGGCUGGUGCUUCUCUUGCAAUAAGAAGAGUUCACUGAGGAAGGAAAAAAGAUGAAGAGAGGAAGCACAGGACUUACAGGACUUGGGCUUUGGCGUUCAGAGGAAUGAGUAGAACAAAUGGCUCCAAUGGGUGGCUGCAUAUGAAUUGAUACGGAGGAAGAAAGCCCUAAUUUGCUGCAUCAUUUGCCUUUUCAAGUCAUGACCAAUGGAGAUGUUUAAAAGUCAUGGCUCAGAGGUACCUGUGCUCCUGAGGUGCUGCACCUCCUGGACUGAGCUGCACUGGAUGGACUAGGAGUGGCCAUCUGCCUUUUUUACUUGCAAAAAUUGAAUCCCUUUGAGCAUAGUCAAACUCUUCUUUUUUAAUCUCUUCAUCUGCAUUAGUUUCUUGAGUUCCAUCCUUGAUCAUUAGGUUUGUGCAGUGUUCAUGGUGCUUGCAACACAACCAUCUGCACUGCUAGUGAUUGAUAUCUGAUGGUCAGAAUAAAUUCUCUGUAUCUGUUAGGCUUCUGCAAGUGAGUGAGGGCCUCUGGAUCUCCAUGAAUGUGCACAAAUAUGAAUCUGAAGCAUCACCAUCCCUGAAUAGGAGUACGGACUCAAUGAUCCUUAUGGGUCCCUUCCAACUUGGGAUUUUCCAUGAUUCUGUGAUUUUAUGAGUUCAGUUGAACAAGUCAAUGUAAUUAAGCAAAAGCUUCUCCUUACAAACCUCAGUGCUGAUUGCAUUCAGCUGAGAUGCAAAACAUCCAUUGACUUUAAUCCAAGCUUUGGCCCAGGUGAGGAGCAAAGCUCAUAGAUUUUCCUCACAUUGAAGUGUUAAAGUUGAGAAGGACUGGGGUGUCUGGUACCCACUGGGAUUGCUUGGUAAGAAUGGUGUUGCUUUCCCUUCCCUUCCCUUCCAGUCCUGCUGAGUGUGAUUAAAGACAGGUCAGGAAGGGCUGCCUGCUAAUAAUUCUAUAGAGGAAAUCUCUUGCAUUAUUCAUCAGACAUAUAUGGCCUAUUCUAGGAAGAGAGAAAAUAGAGAAGCACCUUUGGUUGUAUUGUAACAUCUGCGAGUACAGCUGGUUCUUUUUCUGUGUUCCACUUAUUAUGAGCAAUUUGUAUGUUUUCUUCUCCAUCUUCAGUUAAAAAAAAAAAAGAAAGAGAAAAUUCUCUAAAGAGAAGGAACUUGCAAAGCUUGUUAUUACCAGGGCAAAACUCCCACUCCUCCUGUAGAGAUGGGAACUGCCAAGCUCUUGUUCAGCCUUGGCUGUAAUACCUACUAUCAUUUCUCAGCCUUCACGUAAUCAGGUAAUUUAAUAUAAUUCCUCUACUUUCAAUCAAGCCUGGUGAGCAGAUGUCAGGAUUCAACCCCUGGGUUUUGUCUGCUGCCGCAGCCUGGUUCCAGUGCUCACGGCAGAGCCCAGCUCUGCUCACCCUGCUGCUCUGGGUGGGAUGGGGGCCCGGGGCUGUACAGCUCCACCUGGAUAGGAAUGGAGAUAAGCACCUUCCUCCUUAAAGGAUGGAAGCAAAAAGGUUGGCAGUGUUCUACGAGCAGUGUGUGAGCAGUUGCUGUUUCACAGCCGCAGUAUUGCCAUGCUGUGUCUCAGCUGAUGAGAAAGAUAUGGAAAGAGAACAGAUGUUGAGAACAGAUAAAUAGGAAUGAAGGAGAACAGAUGUUGGGAUUUUGUAUGAGAUUUGUUCUGUCUUGAUUCAUAAGUUUGGCCAGCAUAUGCAAUGACCACAUAUCUCCUGUCUCUGAGUAACAACACUGACCCUACUGAAGAUGUGAGGCUUAACCCACAAAUAUCCACAGAGUGUUUUUGAUGAAAAUAGCAAGAAAAUGUUUAUUUUUGCUAUUAGGCAAGAUUUUAGAAUCCCUUCCCAGGCAGCUGCUCCAGAAAUAACACUUUGUUUUUGAAACAUAGAAAGCCUUGUGUGUGCUCCUAUAUAUGUCAGAACCAGGUUCUCAUGGGAAGCUGAGUCCAUCAGCAUCCUUUAGGAUCUGAGACCAGCACCACUGCUGCUGCAGAACUGAGUCCUAAACAACAGCAACAGGGAAGGAGAUGAGCAUGUUUCUGAGUUGCUUUUGUUCUGUGUGUUCAUGUCCCAAGGGAUGGUCCAGCUGCUCCCUGGUGCCCGAUAUUGUGCUUAGAGGACUGGCCAUGACCGAGGCUUGCUCUAACACUUCCCUUCCCUCUCUCCUCAAGGCAAGGAGAUGAGCGAUUGAUUCUCAGCUCUGAUAGCCAUUGUCUCCUCCUGCAGGUUCGUGAAGUGCAACAUGGGCUCAAGCUUGUCUGAACCUUGAUGAUAAGCUCUCCUUGUUAAAAGCUAUUAUAUUUGUUACUAGCUGAGUAUAAUUCUGCCUGACUACCGCAGUUCUCCUCUGCAUGUAAUUGAAUUCAUAUUCAUCAUAAAGCAAUGAAAAAUAAA